UUACAUCUUCCUGAGGAUAGAGCCUACAUAGAAGUUCAGCAAAUAUCUGGUCUUUUCCACACCUGGGAAGAUGUGGGUAUAGGCCACUAUGUGUUUUCCUUUCAAAAUGACAUCAGUGCUCCUGGUUGUUGGGCCUUUGGGGCUGGACUGGAACUACACCACUGGCUUUCCUGGGCCUCCAGCUUGUAGAUUGUAGAUCACGGGACUUUUCAGCCUCCAUAAUCACGUAAGCUUAUCCCUCAUAAUAAAUCUCUUGCUAUGUAUCUGUGUACAGUUGAUCUUUGAGCAACAAAGGUUUGAACUGAUGGAUCCACUUAUAAGUGGAUUUUCUUCUGCCUCUGCACCCCUGGAGCAACAAGAC
rnacentral:lncRNA from 1 species